rnacentral:rRNA from 1 species
AGGUGAACUGCGGAAGGUCAUUA